GUGGGGAAUAUUGCACAAUGGACGAAAGUCUGAUGCAGCGACGCCGCGUGAGGGAUGACGGCCUUCGGGUUGUAAACCUCUUUCGCCAAGGACGAAGCGAAAGUGACGGUACUUGGAGAAGAAGCGCCGGCCAACUACGUGCCAGCAGCCGCGGUAAGACGUAGGGCGCGAGCGUUGUCCGGAUUUAUUGGGCGUAAAGAGCUCGUAGGCGGCUCAUUGCGUCAACCGUGAAAUCCUGCUGCUCAACGGCAGGUCUGCGGUUGAUACGGGUGGGCUGGAGUUCGGUAGGGGAGACUGGAAUUCCUGGUGUAGCGGUGAAAUGCGCAGAUAUCAGGAGGAACACCGGUGGCGAAGGCGGGUCUCUGGGCCGAUACUGACGCUGAGGAGCGAAAGCGUGGGGAGCGAACAGGAUUAGAAACCCUGGUAGUCC
rnacentral:rRNA from 1 species